UAAAAAAAAAUCCACUCAACGACAAUGGUGAGAGGGCAAGUUUCUAGCAAAGCAUUAGGUAGCUAACCUAAAUAAUAAAUCAGUGUAGCAUCAAGUCCAAGAAGAAAUAGACAAGCUUGAGCACUGGGUUUCCAGCUACCGGCUGUAAGCAUGGAGAAAGAGUAGAGAUGGGUGAGAGAGGGAAAAAAAUGAAUUGUAUAUACACGUAACUUUCCUUGAGACCCAGAACAGAUCAAAUAUUAAUUAAGGAAAACUGCUCUCUUUUAUAUUCAUAAAAGCCUGCAUCAUUAUAAGGCCUUUCAGGUCAUUUUUCAGCACAUUGGUUGUUUCUACAUUUGCUAAAAUCCUUGUAGAUGGGACAAAAUGAAUAUAUGUUCAGAACAACUCAUCCACCCUAGUUUUCUUGCAUCCCGCUCUCCAGGUACACCAAGUCCCCAUUCCAAGGCCCACACUCUUCCCUCUUCAAAAUCCUUUCAUAUUCCGUUUUCUCUCUCUGUGACACAUCUUCCUCUUUUCUGCCUCUUCUUCAUCCAACCAAGUUUCACUAAUUCUUAGUCCCAACUCAAUGUCACCAACUCCAGGGAACUGCGUUCUCCUAGAUCGUCCCACAUUCCUCCAUGGAGGUUUCAUCUUUGUUCCCUAGCUUCACAGCCCCAAGGCUAUGAGCACCCGGAGGGCUGGGCUCUGUAAUUUUUACUAACACACUGCUGUCCCUCUCUGCAAGUCAUGCCAUCCCCUUGCCCCACCCCAGCGCUCUCCCUUUUCCUUCAUAGCCAAACUUCCCCUCUGGGUCACUUCUUGACUUCCCUUCAUAAGUCACUUCUCUCUAUUCUGGCUUCUUGAGCCCAUCACUCUAAUAAAACUACUCUGUCUAAUAUACCCUUACUAAUCCCAAGGCACACUAUAGACCUAUCUAUAGGUUUUUAUGGAAAUCUGGGGCUCAUUCAUUACUCCUUUGUCACCAUUAUCCCCAGCUCUAGGUAAUGACCAGCCUCUACUUUCCAUGAAGCCUCAAGUCUGUCCCACUUCUCUCUGCCCCUUCUGCUACUGCCCUCAUUCAGACUUCCUCACCUGGCACCUGGAUGCUGCCACACUCUCCCAACUGGCCUUCCUGCUUCCAACCUAGUCUCCCACUACUGCACCAGAGUGAUCCUUCUUAAAAGCAAAUCAUAUUACUGAAGACCUCCACUU
rnacentral:lncRNA from 1 species